UACGUAGGGUGCGAGCGUUGUCCGGAAUUAUUGGGCGUAAAGAGCUCGUAGGCGGCUUGUCGCGUCGGAUGUGAAAGCCCGGGGCUUAACUCCGGGUCUGCAUUCGAUACGGGCAGGCUAGAGUUCGGUAGGGGAGAUCGGAAUUCCUGGUGUAGCGGUGAAAUGCGCAGAUAUCAGGAGGAAUACCGGUGGCGAAGGCGGAUCUCUGGGCCGAUACUGACGAUGAGGAGCGAAAGCGUGGGGAGCGAACAGG
rnacentral:rRNA from 1 species